CAGCAGCCGCGGGAAUACGGAGGGUGCAAGCGUUAAUCGGAAUUACUGGGCGUAAAGCGCACGCAGGCGGUCUGUCAAGUCAGAUGUGAAAUCCCCGGGCUUAACCUGGGAACUGCAUUUGAAACUGGCAGGCUAGAGUCUUGUAGAGGGGGGUAGAAUUCCAGGUGUAGCGGUGAAAUGCGUAGAGAUCUGGAGGAAUACCGGUGGCGAAGGCGGCCCCCUGCACAAAGACUGACGCUCAGGUGCGAAAGCGUGGGGAGCAAACAGGAUUAGAUACCCGAGUAGUCCCUGUCUCUUAUAC
rnacentral:rRNA from 1 species